GCCCCCAUAGCCCAAUUGGCAGAGGCAGCGGACUUAAAAUCCGCAUAGUCAGGGUUCGAAUCCCUGUGGGGGCACCA
rnacentral:tRNA from 1 species